GCCCGCUCAGAAACUUAAAGGAAUUGACGGGGGCCCCGCACAAGCGGUGGAGUAUGUGGUUUAAUUCGAUGCAACGCGAAGAACCUUACCUGGUCUUGACAUCCCGGAGACCCUUAGGAAACUAGGGGGUGCUUCCAUCUGGAAGAAUCUGGAGACAGGUGCUGCAUGGCUGUCGUCAGCUCGUGUCGUGAGAUGUUGGGUUAAGUCCCGCAACGAGCGCAACCCUUGCCUUUAGUUGCCAGCAGUUCGGCUGGGCACUCUAAAGGGACUGCCGGUGUUAAACCGGAGGAAGGUGGGGAUGACGUCAAGUCCUCAUGGCCUUUAUGACCAGGGCUACACACGUACUACAAUGGCCGAUACAAAGGGCAGCGACACUGCGAAGUGAAGCCAAUCCCGUAAAAUCGGUCUCAGUCCGGAUUGGAGUCUGCAACUCGACUCCAUGAAGUUGGAAUCGCUAGUAAUCGUGGAUCAGCAUGCCACGGUGAAUACGUUCCCGGGCCUU
rnacentral:rRNA from 1 species